UGGAAGUAAAAAGUCGUAACAAGGUCUCCGUUGGUGAACCAGCGGAGGGAUCAUUACUGAGUUACCGCUCUAUAACCCUUUGUGAACAUACCUAUACGUUGCUUCGGCGGCCGUCCCCCGGGGCGUCCGCCGGAGGAUAACCAAACUCUGAUUUAACGACGUUUCUUCUGAGUGGCACAAGCAAAUAAUCAAAACUUUUAACAACGGAUCUCUUGGUUCUGGCAUCGAUGAAGAACGCAGCGAAAUGCGAUAAGUAAUGUGAAUUGCAGAAUUCAGUGAAUCAUCGAAUCUUUGAACGCACAUUGCGCCCGCCAGCAUUCUGGCGGGCAUGCCUGUUCGAGCGUCAUUUCAACCCUCAAGCACUGCUUGGUGUUGGGGCUCUACGGUUGACGUAGGCCCCCAAAACUAGUGGCGGACCCUCUCGGAGCCUCCUUUGCGUAGUAACUUUUGUCUCGCACUGGGAUUCGGAGGGACUCUAGCCGUUAAACCCCCCAAUUUUUUAAAGGU
rnacentral:rRNA from 1 species